rnacentral:rRNA from 1 species
UACAGAGGGUGCGAGCGUUAAUCGGAAUUACUGGGCGUAAAGCGUGCGUAGACGGUUAUUUAAGUCGGAUGUGAAAGCCCCGGGCUCAACCUGGGAAUUGCAUUCGAGACUGAAUAGCUAGGGUGCGGUAGAGGGAAGCGGAAUUUCCGGUGUAGCGGUGAAAUGCGUAGAUAUUAGGAAGAACACCGGUGGCGAAGGCGGCUCUCUGGACUGUAACUGACGCUGAGGCGCGAAAGCGUGGGGAGCAAACAGG